rnacentral:rRNA from 1 species
UACAGAGGGUGCGAGCGUUAAUCGGAAUCACUGGGCUUAAAGGGUCCGUAGGCGGGACUGCAGGCGUCGAGUGAAAUCCCACGGCUCAACCGUGGAACUGCUCGGCGAACCGCAGUUCUUGAGGCGAGUAGAGGCGAUCAGAACGGUAGGUGGAGCGGUGAAAUGCGUAGAUAUCUAUCGGAAUGCCAAAGGUGAAGACAGGUCGCUGGGCUCGUCCUGACGCUGAGGGACGAAAGCGUGGGGAGCAAACGGGAUUAGAUACCCCGGUAGUCCACGCCGUAAACAAUGCGCACUGGGUCGGGGAGGUUUGACGCCUUCCUGGCCGAAGCAAAAGUGUUAAGUGCGCCGCCUGGGGAGUACGGUCGCAAGGCUAAAACUCAAAGGAAUUGACGGGGGCUCACACAAGCGGUGGAGCAUGUGGCUUAAUUCGAAGCAACGCGAAGAACCUUAUCCCAGGCUUGACAUCUAUGGAUUAGUCCUAUGAAAGUAGGAUGACAGUCGCAAGACCGGAACAUGGACAGGUGCUGCAUGGCUGUCGUCAGCUCGUGCUGUGAAGUGCCGGGUUAAGUCCCUCAACGAGCGAAACCCCUAUCGUUAGUUGCUAACAGGUAAUGCUGAGGACUCUAGCGAGACUGCCGGUGUCAAACCGGAGGAAGGUGGGGAUGACGUCAAGUCCUCAUGGCCCUUAUGCCUGGGGCUGCACACGUGCUACAAUGGUGAAUACAGAACGAUGCAAGACCGCGAGGUGGAGCAAAUCGCUUAAAGUUCACCCCAGUUCAGAUAGCAGGCUGCAACCCGCCUGCUUGAAGUCGGAAUCGCUAGUAAUCGCGGAUCAGCUACGCCGCGGUGAAUAUGUUCCUGAGCCU